CGUAGGGUGCGAGCGUUAAUCGGAAUUACUGGGCGUAAAGCGUGCGCAGGCGGUUUUGUAAGACAGGCGUGAAAUCCCCGGGCUCAACCUGGGAACUGCGCUUGUGACUGCAAGGCUAGAAUACGGCAGAGGGGGGUGGAAUUCCACGUGUAGCAGUGAAAUGCGUAGAGAUGUGGAGGAACACCAAUGGCGAAGGCAGCCCCCUGGGUCGAUACUGACGCUCAUGCACGAAAGCGUGGGUAGCAAACAGGAUUAGAUACCCUGGUAGUCCACGCCCUAAACGAUGUCAACUAGGUGUUGGGUGGGUAAAACCAUUUAGUACCGGAGCUAACGCGUGAAGUUGACCGCCUGGGGAGUACGGCCGCAAGGUUA
rnacentral:rRNA from 1 species